AGUCUAACACCUGGUAGCGCUGCUAACAGUCUAACACCUGGUACCGCUGCUAUACAGGCUAACAGGCUAACGCCUGGUUCCGCUGCUACACAGGCUAACAGGCUAACGCCUGGUUCCGCUGCUACACAGGCUAACAGGCUAACGCCUGGUUCCGCUGCUACACAGGCUAACAGGCUAACGCCUGGUACCGCUGCUAUACAGGCUAACAGGCUAACGCCUGGUACCGCUGCUAUACAGGCUAACAGGCUAACGCCUGGUUCCGCUGCUACACAGGCUAACAGGCUAACGCCUGGUACCGCUGCUAUACAGGCUAACAGGCUAACGCCUGGUUCCGCUGCUACACAGGCUAACAGGCUAACGCCUGGUACCGCUGCUAUACAGGCUAACAGGCUAACGCCUGGUACCGCUGCUAUACAGGCUAACAGGCUAACGCCUGGUACCGCUGCUAUACAGGCUAACAGGCUAACGCCUGGUUCCACUGCUUUCUAAAUCAAAUUUUACUGCUUCCAUGAGUUACUUGAUGUGGAAUAGAGUUCCAUGUUGUCAUGGCUCUAUGUAGUACUGUGUGCCUUCCAUAGUCUGUUCUGGACUUGGGGACUGUGAAGAGACCUCUUGUGGCAUGUCUUGUGCGGUAUGCAUGCUGAGCUGUGUGCUAGUAGUGUAGACAGACAGCUCGGUGUAUUCGAUGUAUAGGAUUUCAUAUAUAUAUAUAUAUAUAUAUAUAUAUAUAUAUAUAUAUAUGAAAUCCUAUUGGAUAUCACAGGGCCUAUACCUGACUGGACAGAGAGAGAGAGAGAGAGAGAGAUAUGAAGUCCUAUUGGAUAUCACAGGGCCUAUACCUGACUGGACAGAGAGAGAGAGAGAGAGAUGAAAUCCUAUUGGAUAUCACAGGCCUAUACCCCACUGGACAGAGAGAGAGAGAUAUGAAGUCCUAUUGGAUAUCACAGGGCCUAUACCUGACUGGACAGAGAGAGAGAGAGAGAGAUGAAAUCCUAUUGGAUAUCACAGGCCUAUACCCCACUGGACAGAGAGAGAGAUAUGAAGUCCUAUUGGAUAUCAC
rnacentral:lncRNA from 13 species